GAUGAACGCUGGCGGCGUGCCUAAUACAUGCAAGUCGAGCGAACAGACGAGGAGGUUGCACCUCUGACGUUAGCGGCGGACGGGAGAGUAACACGUGGAUAACCUACCUAUAAGACUGGGAUAACUUCGGGAAACCGGAGCUAAUACCGGAUAAUAUAUUGAACCGCAGGGUUCAAUAGUGAAAGACGGUUUUGAUGUCACUUAUAGAUGGAUCCGCGCCGCAUUAGCUAGUUGGUAAGGUAACGGCUUACCAAGGCAACGAUGCGUAGCCGACCUGAGAGGGUGAUCGGCCACACUAGAACUGAGACACGGUCCAGACUCCUACGGGAGGCAGCAGUAGGGAAUCUUCCGCAAUGGGCGGAAUCCUGACGGAGCCACGCCGCGUGAGUGAUGAAGGUCUUCGGAUCGUAAAUCUCUGUUAUUAGGGAAUAACAAUUGUGUAAGUCACUAUGCACUUCUUGACGGUACCUUAUCAGAAAGCCACGGCUAACUACGUG
rnacentral:rRNA from 1 species